rnacentral:lncRNA from 1 species
UAUAGAUGUUAGUUGGUGGUGUGUAAUAGUUGUAUAUAGAUGUUAGUUGGUGGUGUGUAAUAGUGGUAUAUAGAUGGAGGGUUAGUUGAUGGUGUGUAAUAGUGGUAUAUAGAUGUUAGUUGGUGGUGUGUAAUAGUGGUAUAUAGAUGGAGGGUUAGUUGGUGGUGUGUAAUAGUGGUAUAUGAAUGUUAGUUGGUGGUGUGUAAUAGUGGUAUAUAGAUGGAGGUUGGUGGUGUGUAAUAGUGGUAUAUAGAUGUUAGUGUAAUAGUGGUAUAUAGAUGUUAGUGUAAUAGGGGUAUAUAGAUGUUAGUUGGUGGUGUGUAUUAGUGGUAUAUAGAUGUUAGUUGGUGGUAUGUAGUAGUUGUAUAUAGAUGUUAGUUGGUGGUAUGUAAUAGUGGUAUAUAGAUGGAGGGUUAGUUGAUGGUAUGUAAUAGUUGUAUAUAUCUGUUAGAUGGUGGUGUGUAAUAGUUGUAUAUAGAUGUUAGUUGGUGGUAUGUAAUAGUGGUAUAUAGAUGGAGGGUUAGUUGGUGGUAUGUAAUAGUGGUAUAUAGAUGUUAGUUGGUGGUAUGUAAUAG